UGUUCACCUGCAACUGCACCUUUUGAGCUUUGGAUGUGCAGAUAGUCUAAUGCAGGAUUACUCAAACAUGUGUGAAAGAACCAAAACACACAACUCCAGGUCUGUUUUUGAGGAGGUAACAACAUUCUAACAUGGCUUUAAUCUCACAGCAGGUCAUUGUAUGUAAUAUAGGACCUUUAAAUCAACUAAACCUAGCUAUCAAAGUCACCAACAGGUCAGUCCGUAUGAAAUCAGCCGUUUUCAAGGAAUCUCCCCUAUGAGCCAUUUCAGAUUUGGCUGAAAUCACCAAAUGAAAGAAUUUCAAAUUUUAGCUCAAUCCCUUGAGACGUUCCUGAAAUUUUCACGCCUUGCUCACUUUUUCUCAAGCCUUAAUUUAUAAGCAUGUUUGAGAGACCAUAACUUCAUAAAACUAGAGCUAGGAAGCAGAAAAUGUGGAUUAUUGUAAAUUCUUGGUCAUAGAUUCUGAAUCUGUUGUCAAAUAUUGGGUAUCUUUUGGGUAUCUAUCUCCAAAUAUCUCACAUUUGGUUGCCGCUCAAUUUUUUAUUUUUUUAUUUUUUUUAUUUUUGAGGUCCAAGAUCUAUUUGCUCUAAGCAGAUAUUUACAAACAAACUGUUGACCCUUAUAAAUUCAGGCUUCAGAAAAAGUGAGCAAGGCCCCAAAAGUUCAACAGGCCAUAACUCAGGAACGACUCAAGGGACUGAGCUAAAAUUUGAGAUUCUUUCAUUUGGUCAUUUUAGAAUUUUUUUGAAAAUUUUUCAGCCAAAUCUGAGAUGGCUCAUAGGGGAGGGCAGCUGAUUUCAUAUGGACUGACCCCAACUUAACUCAAUCCGACUCAACUAAACCAGACUAAACCAGCUUAAACCCGACUAAGGGUUCAGUCACACUUGUCCUGGCUUGGUCCUGGUUUGAGCCCAGUUUAGUCCUGAUGUAAACCUGGUUUAGUCCUCCUCUGGUCCUGGUUUAGUCUUGGCCCAGUUUAAGUGAAGUUUGGAUUGUUUUUUGUCCUGGUUUAAACCCAGUAAGUACAAACACAUCCUAAACCACACUAGAUUAGACUAAACAAUGGUAGAACCAAUUGCACUUUUAAUGUAGUUGCUGCAUUGUAAUUCAUAGAAAAAUCUAUAACUGGAGCGACAGUAGCUCAGCUGAUGGAGCGUUUGUCCACUGAUGGAAUCUCACUCUGGACAUAAACAUCAUUGGUUGAGCGGUCAGAUCAGACUAGCUGUGCAAUUCCAGCUCCCACAGAUGAAUGCUGUCAUUGGGUCUUUGGGCAAGACACUUAACACACCUCGCCUCCAGUGUCUGUGUACACUGGUGUGUGUGUGAAUGUGUGAGUGGGUCCAUGUUGUAAAGCUUUUUGAGUGCCUUGAAGGUGGAAAAGUGCUGUAUAAAAAUGUACCAUUGACCAUUUAGACAUAAAUAUAAAAUGUUCCUCAUUUGACCAAAGAUCUUUUUAACUUACUUGAAUAAAUGUAAUGAUAGUUUAAGGUUCAUUGAAAUCAUAGACUGUUUAUAUAAAUGGACAUAGCUAAUGUGCAAGCCGCCGCGUUCCAAACAGGAAGUUCACACGUGGCUCUUCCGGCUCCUCUGACCCCGGCCCCCACUGACUUACAUUGGAAUAUUGUGGCCCCUCUCUGUAACUGCUGCUGUGAGCCUUGUCAUUUUGGUCUGAAAAUCAGGUUUUCCACAGCCAUGGAAAUCCUGGAAAAGUCAUGGAAAUUUAAAAUGAUAUUUUCGAGGCCUGGAAAAGUCAUGGAAUUUUACUGUCUCUGUCACGCAGCUCCAGCAUUCUGUUAAUAAGUUCUCAUUAGACUAUUCUGAUUAGAACGUCUGUGCCUUUUGUUUAAAAGAGACGACAAUAAAUGCACUGACAGGAUUUUAAAUGUUACAAAACUAUAAUCCCAAACCAUAAGGUGAGUGGAAAGAGUUAACAUUUCAUAUUUAGCCCUAAAAAUAUGCUCAAUUCUACAGAUGUAGGUGCUAGGUAUGAAAACAAAUCCUUGGUCUGAAAAAAAGAACCUAAUAACAUAAAUUAUCAGAAAACCAAAUGAACCUCAUCGGACUACAUGCAGGUGCUGUAAAGUCAUGGAAACUUCACUUUAGGUCCUGAAAGAGUCAUGGAAACGUUUUGAAAUGUUGUCAGUGAAAAAGAGUGGGACCACUGUAAGACGUUCACAUGCGGCUCUUCCGGCUCCUUCUGACUCUGGCUCCAAUUGACUUAAAAUAGCCUCAUCACUUUGGUCUUAAAAUGUUUGUAUUAACCUGCUUCUUUUUUUUUUUUUCCCUCGUUGCUGCUUUGUCAGUUAUAUAGGGCCUGACUCCAAAUUCGCUCCUGUAACCGUUGGUAUCGUGAGCCGAACGCUUUGGGUGACGUCACACUCGCUCAGUCCAUUUUUUACACAGUCUAUGGUUGAAACUCAGAUAAAUGUUAUGGUUUUGACUGUUUUGGGGAAAUAUUUAAGGGACUUUUACUUGUGAAUAGAGAGAUAAUUUAGACUAACUUUUAACUGCCAAACAAAAUGACUAAUUUCUUGAAACACAGUAUGUCACUUUUUUUUUAAUCUUUUGACCUUUUUUUGAAUAUGUUUUUGGCAACAUUUUAACCCACACGCCCUUCCUAGUAUUGCAAUCAGACAAUUAAUUGGACCAGAACUGGGUGGCGUGGUUUAAGCGUUUGGCCAAGUGACAAAGAAAGUGUGCAAUCGAACGGCAUUCAAACGAGUGACCCUCUGGUAGGUGGGCAAAUGCUUAACCCACUGUGCCAGCCAAUAUUUUGUACAUUUCUGAUGCUGCUGAUUAUCUUUACCAAAUAGAACUACCGGUAAUUGCUGUAUUGGGGCCAAAUAAAAACCAAAAACUCCAAAUAUAUUAUAAAACUGACCUAAAAAUGCCUAAAUUACAUUCUGUUGUUUUGUACAAAGUUGUAAUUUUUUUUAAAGCUUGUGUGUUUUGGGUGGAAUAAAAAUGCACGGUACGACACUGGUUUAAAACUGUAGCUAGAGAAAUGAUUAUUUACAGUAAUAUAUUUUAGGACCAAUUUUGGGUUUUAAUUUAUGAGAUUUACAUUUUCUUUGGUGUUUUUAAUUUCAGAAGUUAAAGCGUGAGAUGGUUGCACUCUCAAAGUAUUUUUAAUUUAAAUAAAAAAUUAUUUCAACGUUCAAAGUGUGUGUUUAAAAUGUGUGUGAUGGCCAAAAAGGCACAUAUUACCUUUAAAGAGGGGGUAUUAUAUAAAAUCAACUGUCCACCUUGUUAUAACUUCAUUAAAAACAUGCCUGAAGAGGGGAAAAAGCAAAGGGAGCGGGAAACUGAAACGUAUUAAACAUUAAUACACUGUUUUCGUGAAAUCAGCAUUUUUAAAACGAUAAAAAGGAAACAUGGUGAUUUAAAUAUGACGUGUUUGUAGAAGUAAAAUACCCCUCUUUAACUGUUCUGAGUCUCUAUGGAAUGUUAUGGUACUUCUUUGAACAUGAUUUCUGUAUUUUCCUUGUCUCCUGUUGUCACUGCCUCAUACACAACUGCCCAUUUUUGUUUACGAUUUUGGUUUUGUUCCUUCUUGUCAAGUUGUAUUUUUCCUGAUUGGUUCAGAGCGUUUCCUGCCUCACCUCAAGAGGAAUAAAAACUCUGAUUUCAAUGAA